rnacentral:rRNA from 1 species
UACGGGGGGAGCAAACGUUGUUCGGAAUCACUGGGCGUAAAGGGCGUGUAGGCGGCUGGAUAAGUGGGAUGUUAAAUCCCCCGGCUCAACCGGGGACCUGCAUCUCAUACUGUUCAGCUCGAGCACAUCAGAGGAGACUGGAAUUCCCGGUGUAGCGGUGAAAUGCGCAGAUAUCAGGAGGAACACCAAUGGCGAAGGCAGCUCGCUGGGACGGUACUGACGCUGAGACGCGAAAGCGUGGGGAGCAAACAGG